ACAAGCACACACAGGUAUAGUAUAGUGCUGUCCAAAGGUUUCAGGCACAAAGUAUAGAAGAGACAACUUUUUAUGAAGCUUUUUGGGUUUGUCUUUGAGCAGUCUGUGUCUGCAUUCAGGUUAAAAACAAAAGAUCUGCUAGGAUACCAAAAUAGGGAACUCAUUUGUUGGUGUGCAUCUUGAAAUCAUCAAAACAGGAAGUCUCGUGUCAGAUAUCUCUGGCCCAGAAAUAUUGACCAUUGUCUCCAGAGGGAAAAAUUAGCUGAUGGAUUCCCGGACUGCUACAUAUUAGGUGAUGAUGAUUAAUUAGUCCCUGUUGUUGUUAGCAGCAAUAUUUUAUCUCAAGGUUUCAUCUGAAUAUAAGCCAUUCUCUGACUAAUACCAAAGAGGUUUUAGCCAGAGAAAAAUCACAAGGACAAUGAUUAAAAAAAUAAAUUUUUCGGCACUUUAAAUGAGGUUUGUGGCGCAUAUCCCCAGAGGUAAGAGAUGGGGUACACCCUCAACAGUCUACACAUCUGUAAAUUAAACUUCAAAUAUAUUUUUGAUCAUUAAAUUGUCAGAAAUGACAGGAAAAUGCACAGAAUUGCAACUUUAUCUUGACGAAUCACGCUUAUCUACGUGGUCUAACUGCAAAAGCCCAUUUUAAGCCAGGAAGGAAACUGGACAGUUUCUGUGAGCUUCUUUCAACUCCAAAUUAAAGCUGUCCAAACAAAUGUUUUUAUGACUGCACAUUUAUAAUCCUUUUUUAUGUUAGCCAUAUGAAUAUAUUGCAUUUUAUGUUGUAUUUGCUGCAUUUGGCUGACCUUCAACCAAGGAUCAAAACUUCAUUCACUGCUUUAUAAAAAACACAAUGUAAAAUAUAGACAUCACUCAGGCUCCAUGAGAUUAACUCCUAUUCUGACUCCAGUCAGCUGAGAUAUGAGUAAAAUUAUUUUUUUUUAUUAUUUAUUGCAUGAACUGUAAAGAACAAAUACAGAUCCAGCUUCUAGCAUUAGCAUUUUUGCAUAAACGGCUAACCACGCGUCUUCUGUUCAUUUCAGCUUAAUUAUAAUGAAAAUUUCAGCUACACUUUUAAAAUAAAACAGCUACAACCAGUCAGGGUGCUGCAUAUUUUUGUGGCUCCACCUUUAAUGAGAUUAUCUGAAGCCAGACAGCGGUUGACAGCUGUUGCAGUGCACAGACAGCGGCCCAUUAAAGACAUCAUCAUGAUGUCAAUGAACCUACGACCUGCUCUCUUCCUUAAAAUCGGCUUUAUUUGCAGAAUUUUGAAAGAAAGGGAGAGCUGACAUGUCGAGUCCUGUUCACAGCAGCUGGAACAGGGCCAUGUUAGCGUGGCAUUUCCUUACAUCACAAAGGUGCAAAAUGGAAAAUUUUACGUGAACUGAGUUUUUAAAAAUGUGAUCGACACCCUCUCCAACUUUGGAGUAAACGUCCGCAGCUCGUCUGUGAGGGACCGUCGUGAAAAGAUGACCUAACAUGGACAUUUUUUGUCCGGUGUAAUGACACAAACUGGAACCCACCUGCUGGAUCAGAGUAUGUUGGAGAGAAAAAUCCAGCGGCUAGCCAGCGCUCAACGCUAGCCACAGAAAAUGACAACAAUCCUGCAGCAGCUACGAGGCAGACAGACGCUACCAAUAGAUGGCAGAAUAAUCGAUACAUAUACAUAGGAACUUUAACGUAUGCAAUCCGACAGAAGAGGUAGGAAAAAUGGAUUUAAAAGUGAAAAGUAAAGAUAAAGAAUAAAUGUGUCAUAUUGCGAUUACUAAAGCAACUCUAUUUUAUUUAACGGCAUAAUCGUUUUCUUCUUCUUUCGGCUCCUCCCUUCAGGGGUCGCCACAGCUGAUCAUCUGCAUCACUCUAGUAUCCUCUUAUGUCACACCAAACCUCUGUAUAUUCUCCUUCUGUGGUCGUCCUCUUUUGUUUGGCAGUUUCAUCAUUAACAUCCUCUGCACAUGUCAGCCUUGUCUUUCUAACCGUGUCUCCAAACCACCCAACCUGAGCUGUCCCGCUGAGAUACUCCUUUCUAAUCUUAACAUCUCAGGUCUCGCUGUCAUCUUGUAAUCCUUCGCUUGCUGCUAUCUAUCAGUCACAAGUCAACCCUGACACUCGUCUCCACCCACUACCACCUUGUCUACACUCUCGUCUUCACCCCUGUCUCCUUCUUAUUCGCACACAUGUAUUCCGUUUUGCUUCGACUGACUUUUAUUCCUCUUCUCUUCGGAGGAUACCUCCACCUCUCCAGGCUCUCUUCCAUCUGCUGUGAGCGUUCAUCAACUCCUCAAAGUCCUCCUUCCACCUUCCUAACACACACUUUUCUCUCUUUCUAUCUUUAAUCACGCUAACCUGCUGCUAAUCCUUUCCAGCUCGAUCGCUCUGUCUAACCAAUCGAUGCAAAAUCUUUUGUCUCCUUCCUUAAGUCAUAAAAGUAACUUCAACAAAGUUAACUCGGCCUGUUCACCAUUUACAGUUAGGGUAUUUUAUGACUCAUAUCAUCAUCAUCAUCUCUAACUCUGUCUCUAUAGCCAUUUUAUUAGCAUCAGUAAAUGGUCUCAUUUUCUUUUCUUGCCCAUAAAGUAAGCAGACAAUGGAAAAAUGAAGGACAGUAACAGGAGUGGUGGCUCAUGGUAAACUGACACCCCAGUGGUGUACUGAUGUCUGUGUGACUGAAAAAUAGCUGAGUCAUUAGGUUGGCACUGUCGCUGCACAUAUAACACUGACUACUGACCAGCUACACAAGAUCUAACACUCCAAGACUGACUGGUGAAGAAAACACUGAAGUGGAGCCAUGCUGUGACUGAUAUGCUCUGCGCUGCACAAUGUGGCUGCCUGGGUCGUGUCUUGCUGUUGCUCCUCAGCAAAGGACGGGACAUCAUCAGGAGAGACAUACAAGUGUAAAGGAAAGCAAGUGUGGACGGUGUCUGAUGAUGCAGCACCAUCCAGUCAAAA